rnacentral:misc_RNA from 1 species
GAAUCCUGUAAUCUGAGU